AUAGCCGUAUCCUGUGCUGUCGUCGUGAUAUCCUAUGCUGCCGCCGUCAAUGUUGACUAGAAAGAAAAAUGUUUUAAUCAUUAUAACAAAAUAUUCGUGUUAUCAGUAUAAAAAUAUCAAUUAUUGAAAGUUCAUACCUUCAUACAAAAUGAACUGUUACUAGGAUGUGUUGUACGUAUAUGGGCAGCUGAGGACGCUGAUAAACUUUACUUAUCAGUAACCACACCAAACACUAACUGAUAAUCGAAGAUUACUGAUGUUGAAGUGAGGAACGAGACGGAUAGUCUUCCAAUUGAACCCUCCAUUUUACGGUAUAACACAACAAAAGGAAGAAAUAAAAAAUGCAACCAUUUUAUGAUGACAACAAAGGACAGAUAAUAUAUGAACUACAACAACCAAUACUACGAAAGAACAAUGAAAAAACUUGAAUAUUUUAUUGAAAACAUGACAAUCACCUGUUUAGCCAAAACUGUUAUAGGUUCCUUAUUUAAAAAUGAAUACACAAUAAGUCAACCUUUUGACUUUUUCCAAUGAUAUUUGGUAUGAAUGUAUACUAACAUAAACAUCGCAUCGUAUCCCAUGUGCCAUUCAUCCUUGACCUCAAGUUUCAUUAUUAUAGGUUUUUUUUAGGC